rnacentral:misc_RNA from 1 species
GGAAGUAAAAGUUGUAACAAGGUCUCCGUUGGUGAACCAGCGGAGGGAUCAUUACAGGACUCGCAAGACUCCUACAACCCUGUGAACUUAACUAUAAGCACGUUGCUUCGGCGGGUGUCUCGGAGGGGGUUCUCCCUCCCCGAGACGCUAAACCCGCCGGCAGCCUACUAUACUCUGUCUCUUUGCGUUGGCAUCUCGAGUACAAUCAAACAAGUUAAAACUUUCAACAGCGGAUCUCUUGGUUCUG